UGCGGGCCGGGCGGUGGUUACUUCACAGUGCCAGUUGAAGGCAGUAACCCCGCCCAUGUCAGUUAGCAGCUAAUUUGAAUAUACAGAAAACCAGCUAUAACGGACGAACGGCCAGCGGAUCUGGGCAAGGGCUCCAAGCUGGAUAAUCCCAUCACAGCAUCCUCCCAUAUCCAAUACAUAACAGGUUCCUCCAUCCGUACUCCAGGAUUUUGAAAGGUCUUAGUUUUUGGCAUCACCUUACAUGUGAAACAGUGACCACAUGGGAAUGAUCCUAUUCUGAUAGCUGUGUACUAGAAGGUGUCUCAAGUUUGGUCCUCUUCUUUAUGUUAUAUUAGGUCUUUCUCCCUGGGAAUUGACACCACACUAUAAAUUGAUAACUCAGACCAGGAAUAAUUAUAGGAGAACAGUUCCGGCAUAUGGAGGACCUAGCCUACAAUCAUGCACAAGACGGAGGAGCAUGAUACACAAAUACUAAGUAUUUGGUCAUGCGCAAUGGAAUGAAAAUGGCACAUAGUUUAAGUCCGUGGCCGUGCGUAGAUAGUCCACCUACAGGAUAGAAAAAGAAAAGUUUGCGAUCAUGUGUAGAACAACGAGAGGAUGCCCAUGAUCACGAGAGCUGCAUGGAAGAUCGUGAGAAUAUCGUAGAAUGCUAUGUGACUAUCACAUGACAU